rnacentral:pre_miRNA from 1 species
CAUCAACUCCCUCCGUCCAAAAAUACUUGUCAUCAAAAUGAAUAAAAAAGGAUGUAUCUAGAACUAAAAUAUGUCUAGAUACAUCCCCUUUUAUUCAUUUUGAUGACAAGUAUUUCCGGAUGGAGGGAGUAUUAA